UAUUUCAUUAAGAAUAAAUUAGAAUUGGUGAAAUGAGAUUGCGCAAAAUUCAUACAUUUAUGACGAAUAAAAUUUUGGAAAAAAUGUGUUUAUAAGCUCUAAGUGAUUCGGACUGCUAAAUAAAAUUGAAAGUUAUUCCAGUGGUGCUAGACUUGAUUUUAUUUCUAAAAGGAUAAAAUUUGACAGCCAGGUUUGAAUAAUUAUGAACUGGAAGCUUCUUGGAAUCGCCAUAAUGUGUUGCCUUUUGAACGGAUUAUCAACUCAAAAAAUAUUUCCAAGAGCACGACGACAAAUGAGUGAACGUUGGUUAGAUCAUUAUAGAACCUGGGUGGCCUUAAAUGCUUUAAAUGCCACGGAUUAUAGAGUGUGUGGGAAUGUGAUAGGGUGUGGAUUAGUGGAUAUUGUUAAAAGUGGGAAAAGAAAACGGAGUAACCCCGCUAUUGACCAGCUUGUUUUUGAAAGACUCAAAUCAAGCAAAGGCCUACAAAAGAGAGGUGAAGAAAGUAUGAAGAAUGAUAUUUACCAAGAUCUAUUAUCCAUCAUGAGAAAGAAUAGAAACGUAUUUGAAACAUUACCAAAUGCUCAAAUUAAUAAUGAACAAAAUAACAGGUCAUUCCUUGAUAGAAUAACAGCAAAGAAUAUACCGUAUUUGGAUAGAAAUUCACAUUCCAGUUAUAACCAAUUGGUGCGAAGGUCAUUAGAUAAUAACAUUCCAAAAUUAGCUGGUCGGCGUUCUAACAUCAACGAAGAGAUUAGCGACAUCGGUGAUCUCUCUGACAAAAAAAUGCGGCUAACUUUGAUGGCUUCACUUCUAUCCAAACCAAAUUUAUAGUUUCAAUCGUUGUUCAUUAUUGUCACUACUCAAAUUGUUAUUUGUCAACCAUAUUUUCAUUUCUCUAAGUUGUCCAUCUUCAGAGAGAAUUACAUUAUAAAGAUUCGCAAUAGAAAACAAUUUAGUCUGGGAAGAUAUGGUUUAAUUAUUAGUUGAAAUUGGCUUUGGACUAUAUUUUAGUAACUGCCAGAACUCUUAGUUCGGUACGAUUUGCCUUUUGUCUUCUUCGAGUUUUAUGUUUGUGCUUCGUGUCGAUCUGACGAGUCAAGCCCUAUCCAAAUGACUUUUACAGUUUGUUCUUAUGUUAUGUUGCAAAACCACUGUUCAAGGUUAGGAGAGGGUAGAGCGAUCAGAAGCAUUUUAAACAUCGCCACAUCCUGUACAUGUCUGUCCCAAGUCAGUAGUCUGUAAUUAAAUGUUUUUCUUGAUUGCUGUCUACCAUUUGUCUUUCUCGUUUAUUGUUUUUAUCAUAAAUCAGUCCGUUGGUUUGAAGUAACUUCAUUUGAGCUGUUUCACAUUUUGUUCUGCCGAGCAUUUUUGGCGGUAUGUGUAUUGCUCAUUGUUGAAGGGUGUAUGGUGACCUAUAUAGAUGCGUCCAUCCUCGUCAUGUUGUCACUGGCGGAUAUUUUUUUCAUUGGCAAUCACACCACAUCUCUGUAAUUUUAUAUAAAGACAAGUUCAAUAGAUUGCUGAGACAUUGUCUAAUCUAAGAAAAAGAGUUUAAUCAAAUGUUUAAAUAACAAUUUGUUGUUGGUGCAAUAUGUGAAAAAAAAUAUUUGAUAUAUAAUUUCUGUUAUCCUUUUAUAUACAUAUAUUAUAACACUGUUCAUGUUAGGGUGUUUAACUUUAUAAAUGCUUUUUCGGCGCAUAGCAUGACUGAUAUAUUAUCAAGUGGUAAUAAAUAAUCAAAUAUCACCCCGAAAAAAAAAACAUGAACAAAGCAAUUAUAUUACCGGAUGAUAAACUCUCGAAUCUAUCAAAGGACACCCUUAAACGAAUCUGUUAUUGUUUUAUAAAUUGUAAAAGAAAUAAAAUAUUUUAAAACUGUCAA